GGACCAACUCCGAGACACAGAGCUGAAAGUGCCCUCCAGUGCCUGGGAGGAAAUGAGGAAAUGUCCAGUCUCACACUCACUGCCAGUGUGAGAGUGAGAUCAGGAGAAAGAUUGGACUGAAGAUGUCUCUUACCGGUGAAGGUUAGGACGGCAGACACAACGCAGAGAAAGAAAUGAACUGAAACAUCUAUGCUUUGUUCUUUCCCCUGCUAAAUUCUCCAAACAGAAACCCCAGAUUCCAGGGGGCUCCAGAGCCAUGGUCCGCCUGAGCCCCUGACGUUACCAAGGGCUUGAACAUGCGGGGAGCUUAUUACUAGAGAAAAGCUGCCUGGCCAGUGUGGGGACGAGACUGCAGAUCCAAAAGGAUGGAGCCUUGCAUUUGAGGAACUUGAAGAGAGAAGGACUAACUCUCAGGUGCCUCCCCAAGAGGUGGGGCUUUGCUUUCAGGCUGAAACAUUCAGAAGUUAAAAUUUUAUCAUUUUCCCAGACUCAGAGGAAGUAGACUAGCUAAAUCAAACUCAGGAGAGGAAAGUUGAUAAAAGGUGAAUUCUGAGUUCAUUUAGUCACUGUGAAAAAUGUAACUGCUGAUGGAGUGGAGUGCUCCAAGUUAUUUAUGGAAUAUUCGAGGAGAAGUUUGAUCGAAGUUAGUCCAAGAAUCUGAGACCCAGGGAAAUAGAAACACACGCUCGAAGACAGGCCCCUUGUCCAGGGCAGAGUGGGAAUACAAGCCUUGGCCCCUCCCCAUUUCAUACAAGAAUGAUGGGGUUCAGCCCUAUCGCACCCCCUCACAGGAGAGUCUCUCACGAACCACGUCACAGCUGGAGCCAUGUGUGACAACCAUGGAUUAGAACAAGACUUUCAUCCCAUUUGCUGAGCAGGAAGGAAUUCUUCUGUGGAGUCUUUUUUUUUGUACCAGGGAUUGAACUCGGGACCUUGCACUUGCAAGGCAGGCAGUGGAACCACUGAGCUAAAUCCCUGGCCCUGGACUCAUUUUUUAGAGACACAAAUUUUGACUCCUCUUCUUUUUCUAAAUUCCAUGAAGAAAGGCCACUGAGUCUGUAGUAGGCUCAGAAAAAUGUUGAUUUAAGGUAUGUUAUUUCUGAGUUAACGCCCAAUUGCAUGGUUGGGGUAUGGCUUGAGGGUUUUAGGACCUGUAAGAGGUGGAGCCCAGUAGAUUCCUGGUUAGUUCUUUUCUUUUGCUUUUUUUUUUUUUUUGGUACCAGGCAUUGAACUCAGGACCUCAUGCUUGCCAGGCAGACGCUGUGCCUCUGAGCUACAACCUCAGACCCCUGGUUAGAUCUUGAGACAAGGCGUUUUCAGAGCCAUCACUUCCUGGCUUCUGUCUCCCCAUGUGAUCCAUCUCACUCUCAUCAUUGUGAGACUAUUGGCCAUGCGGGUCUUCCUAGAGCUGGGAAAAAAUGUGUUUUUGAACAUUCAGAACAGUGAGCUAAAUAAACCUUUUUUCUUUAUAAGCACCCAGCCUCACAUAU
rnacentral:lncRNA from 1 species